rnacentral:ncRNA from 1 species
CAGGGCGAUCUUUGAUGUAUAGCGGUCCGUGUCCAAUUAACUUGUCAGAAUACCUUGAAUAUGUAAGGAAUUGACCUUAUCUAAUCUUCAGUAGCAAAUUCUGACCAGUAUUGGAGGUGUUAUGCGUCUGGAUCGUCUUAC